rnacentral:rRNA from 1 species
AGAACGAACGCUGGCGGCAGGCCUCAAACAUGCAAGUCUAGGGGUGUAGCAAUACACACCGGCGGACGGGUGCGUAACGCGUGGGAACAUACCUUUCGGUACGGAACAACCCAGGGAAACUUGGGCUAAUACCGUAUACGUCCUAACGGAGAAAGAUUUAUCGCCGAAGGAUUGGCCCGCGUUCGAUUAGCUAGUUGGUGGGGUAACGGCUCACCAAGGCGACGAUCGAUAGCUGUUCUGAGAGGAAGAUCAGCCACACUGGGACUGAGACACGGCCCAGACUCCUACGGGAGGCAGCAGUUGGGAAUCUUGGACAAUGGGGGAAACCCUGAUCCAGCCAUGCCGCGUGAGUGAUGAAGGCCUUCGGGUUGUAAAACUCUUUCGACGGGGACGACAGUGACGGUACCCGUAGAAGAGCUCCGGCUAACUUCGUGCCAGCAGCCGC